GACGAAACGCUGGCGGCCGUGCUUAACACAUGCAAGUCGAACGGAAAGGCCCUGGCUUUUGUGGGGUGCUCGAGUGGCGAACGGGUGAGUAACACGUGAGUAACCUGCCCUUGACUUUGGGAUAACUUUCAGGAAAACUGGGGCUAAUACCGGAUAGGAGCUCCUGCUGCAUGGUGGGGGUUGGAAAGUUUUCGGCGGUUGGGGAUGGACUCGCGGCUUAUCAGCUUGUUGGUGGGGUAGUGGCUUACCAAGGCUUUGACGGGUAGCCGGCCUGGGAGGGUGACCGGCCACAUUGGGACUGAGAUACGGCCCAGACUCCUACGGGAGGCAGCAGUGGGGAAUAUUGCACAAUGGGCGGAAGCCUGAUGCAGCAACGCCGCGUGCGGGAUGACGGCCUUCGGGUUGUAAACCGCUUUCGCCUGUGACGAAGCGUGAGUGACGGUAAUGGGUAAAGAAGCACCGGCUAACUACGUGCCAGCAGCCGCGGUGAUACGUAGGGUGCGAGCGUUGUCCGGAUUUAUUGGGCGUAAAGGGCUCGUAGGUGGUUGAUCGCGUCGGAAGUGUAAUCUUGGGGCUUAACCCUGAGCGUGCUUUCGAUACGGGUUGACUUGAGGAAGGUAGGGGAGAAUGGAAUUCCUGGUGGAGCGGUGGAAUGCGCAGAUAUCAGGAGGAACACCAGUGGCGAAGGCGGUUCUCUGGGCCUUUCCUGACGCUGAGGAGCGAAAGCGUGGGGAGCGAACAGGCUUAGAUACCCUGGUAGUCCACGCUGUAAACGGUGGGU
rnacentral:rRNA from 1 species